AGGCUAUGAAGCGAGCACUUCCUCAAUAGGUACUUGAAUCUCUCCCAAGCUUUAUACAAGCUCUCUUGAUCAUGGUGGGCAAAAGUCAUUAUCUCAUUCCAAAGUUU
rnacentral:snoRNA from 1 species